rnacentral:sRNA from 1 species
UAGCAAUGAAUAGCCUAGUAAGAGCACCAGUGGAAGGGGAAGCCCUGGGUCCUGCCAAGACUGAACCCCCACCAUCACUUCUAAAGAGACUUCCAUCACACAAUUAAUCCAUUGACUCCCUUUGUGUGGUCCUAAGUUUGGCGUAAUUCAGUGCCAGCAACAGAGGAACAAGCCAAUGAGUGACAUUACCCUUUAGAAGAAACUGAGGACUCAUCAAUCGGAUACCGGACCUAUGACCCAGAAGAAAGAAAAUCUGUGCUGUACUUUGAACAGUCUUUUUUCUGUUCCUCACCUUCCUGGUCAUUGGCACAUUGGCAAUGAUGUCUUCGCCUGCACGCCUUGGAGCUCUUGCUGUCUGUAGACGGAUGUUGCCUUAACUUCCAUAAGCUUGCCCAAGUGCUUCAACUUCGUCACUACAGAUUCAGUUCUCUUAAUAUGUGUCCCUCUGGUCCUUUCCACAGUCUCAAAACCAAGAACUAAGAAAACAAAGGUCAGCCCAGCCACGCAGGAUACCUCGUUCACCCGGGACCAUGUCCGACAAUAUCAGAGAAUCAGAACUGUGGACUUUGAAGAGUGUCACAAAGAGGUGAAGGGAAGGAAGCAGAUGCUUUAGUAGCAUGGCUUUACAAGAACACUUUUCAUCUAAUGCUCCACCCUUCACAGAUAAAGCUCUCCCUGGCCCCGCCAGAGUAAUUGGACUGGAUGCUAUCAAGCUUUUCUCCUAUGUGACUAACAACCAGCGUUGGUGCCUAAUCUCUCCUGAUGCUCAUUAUUUACGAAUUUGCAAUAGGCGCAAGUGAUAUUCCCUGGGGAGAAGCUUUGAAAGGGAGGCCACUGGGAAAAUCAACAGAAUCCAGCAAGAUGUAUUUUUCUCAGCACAACCAACAUUCAGAGAAAGUGCAGAAAGCCCUGGGUUCCUGUAGAUGUGUAGUGAUGUAGAGAAAGGGUUAGACUGGGAUAAACACAAUUCCCUCCCAUUCUCCUCCCUGCCUUGGUUGCUGAGAGUCUCUUAUCUCCUCUAACAAGGCUCAUAAUAGAAACUGAGAACUAAUAUUUCAUAGGUCAGGUAAUACUGCCUUGCUGCGGACUUAGUUUUCUCUUAACCUAAUCUGGUAGAUCGGUUGCCAUCUUGACAUAACAGAAGUCCUGCAUCGCCAUGGAUUUCUUGAUGCGACCAUCCCAUGUUGUCAAGGCAACCAACUUGGCCAGGGUUUUUUUUUCUCCUCUAGAAAACAAUUUCCAACCUUACAAACCCUACAUCACAAUUAUCCCUUAUAAAACUUGGGGUCAGAUAUGUCCCCUCUACAUACAAAGCUGUUAUUUUUUUUAUGAGAUAGUAUGUCAUUACAGUGAGAGAAUUUGACCUGAGGAAAAAAAUGUAUAUUAAAACAUUGAAGUUAAAAUAAUCGUGGGGCAUUUUUAUCUUGUCGCUUUAUUUCUAGGAGAUGUGAGGCUGUUUACUACUUGCGAUUACAUUUUUCUCUUGAAAAUUUGAAACUGCUGAAUCUAUGCUGGCAGAUUUUGUCUAAAUCUCUAUGUAAAUUGACUGUAAUCAACAGCUUGCUCUGGGUUUGUGAAAUUAAACCGCUGGAAAGACAAAAGUAUUUUCCUGGGAUUAGAGUCCCGCACCUGUUGCAUAUUUACCAUCCCCAACCCCUUUUAAGAGUCAAGACCCAUUGUGAGCUCAGGUUCCUUGUAAACUUUGCAACUCCCUGAGAAUCAACUCACACUUGAACUCAAGGUGAAAGCAAUAGUUUCCCCUGAGAACUCAGUUGUUUUAAAUGAAAUCCCAAAGGAAGGAGAGGAAGAGGUGCCUGACACUUUUUGUUAUCAAGAAGAAUUGUGGGUUUGGUUAAGAGUCUAAUGAUCCUAUUUUGGGUCUAGUGGUGGCACUCAGCAGGCAGAGGCAGGCAGAUCUCUGAGUUCAAGGCCAGGCUCCUCUAUAGUUUGAGUUCCGGGACAGUCAGGGCUACAAAGAGAAGAAAAUAAAAAGAUUCUAACUUGGUUCUACAGACCUAACUACUACUUUUAGGCCUAAAUCUCCACAAUGCACUUCACAGACCACAUUUUGCUUAACUGUAAUCGCAUUUAGUGGUUCUUCAUUCUUAGUCAACCAGGACCAUUGAAUUUCCCGUUAGGUUUUCAAAUAUUUAUAAGGCUUCCUUCCCAUUAUAUUUUUGCUUAGAAGCUGGUUUUAUAAAUGGUAGUCAUGAUGAUUUUUAUAAUUCCCAGAAGUUUUAAAACAGAAACAUGGCUUUAAAUGAAGUUUCGGUAUGAGACUUAGUGGGUCACAACACUUUCAUGUCGCAUGUGUCAGCUCCUUCAGAUACCACUAUUUUACAAGGAACCAAAUGACUUUUUAUUCCUUAAAAAUGAAGACAAAGAUUCACCUCUGCCAGGGAGGAUUUGACAUUAUUCUUUCCAUUAUUGGGUAUAGACUGAUGAAUCUUGAACUGUCAGUCAGGAUUUUGAUAUUUUAUAAAUAUCUUAUUAGUUAAUAUGAGACAAUGAUAUGCAAUGUAUUU